UUCCGAUCGCCGCUUGUUCUCCACGAUCGUUCGUUUCUCUUGCGCCACACGCAAGUCGCUUUCCGGAAACCCUCGCUUCUGAUGGCGCCCAAGGCCGAGAAGAGGCCAGCGGAGAAGAAGCCCGCCGCCGAGAAGCCGGCCGAGGACAAGGAGAAGAAUGCGGAGAAGUCCGCUGCCGAGAAGAUGCUCAAGGCCGAGAAGCGCCUCCCCUCCAAGGACAGCGCGUCCGGCGACAGGAAGAAGAAGAAGAAGACUAAGAAGGGGAGCGAGACCUACAAGAUCUACAUUUUCAAGGUGCUCAAGCAGGUGCACCCGGACAUCGGCAUCUCAAGCAAGGCCAUGUCCAUUAUGAACUCCUUCAUCAACGACAUCUUCGAGAAACUCGCCCAGGAGGCCUCUCGCCUCGCCCGCUACAACAAGAAACCCACCAUCACUUCUCGCGAGAUCCAGACCUCCGUCCGUCUGGUGCUCCCUGGCGAGCUUGCCAAGCACGCAGUCUCUGAGGGGACCAAAGCGGUGACCAAGUUCACCAGCUCUUGAGCCGUGGCUGCCGCUAGGGUUAUACUGCUUUGAAUCUGCCAAUCAUCCCGAUAGAUGGUCAGAAUUCAUUUAAUAUGUCCUUGGAUUUGUUGGAGACUUGAGCAAAAAUCAGAUUGGAGAAGAAAUUAUAUACGUUUUCAUCUCUAACCGGACAGGUGAACUUCUUAUAGUAUACUUUUCUUUCAAAGUUCAAAGUAGCUAAGAUGUAGAAGUUCAAUUAGUCAGCAGGUUUCCAUGUGGCUAGAUACAGGUUACAUUAUCAGGUGUGAUGGAGAAAUCUUAGCUGCUGAUGUUGUCCUUUGCAAAGUGAAGGAGGCCAAGCAAGUUGAAGGUAUAGAGCUGGUAUGGAAGGUCCGAGGAGAACUAAAGAGGAACAACUGCAUUGUGAAGAUUAACUUUGAAUCUAAGAAAUUAUUGACACCUUAUUUGAAAACUACUGCUCCACCUUGGCAUUUGAAGUCUGUAAUAAGUAGGAUGAGUUGAUGUGGUCUGCGGCUCA